rnacentral:rRNA from 1 species
AUUGAACGCUGGCGGCAGGCUUAACACAUGCAAGUCGAACGAGUGGCGGACGGGUGAGUAAUGCUUGGGAAUCUGGCUUAUGGAGGGGGAUAACUACGGGAAACGGUAGCUAAUACCGCGUAACAUCGGAUGAGCCCAGGUGGGAUUAGGUAGUUGGUGUGGUAAAGGCUCACCAAGCCGACGAUCCCUAGCUGGUCUGAGAGGAUGACCAGCCACACGGGAACGUAGACACGGCCCAGACUCCUACGGGAGGCAGCAGUGGGGAAUAUGGCCCAAUGGGGACAAGCUGACGCAGCCAUGCCGCGUGAAUGAAGAAGGCCUUCGGGUUGUAAAGUUCUUUCGGUAGCGAGGCGUUAACUACAGAAGAAGCACCGGCUAACUCCGUGCCAGCAGCCGCGGUAAUAC